UACGUAGGGUGCGAGCGUUGUCCGGAAUUAGUGGGCGUAAAGAGCUUGUAGGCGGUUUGUCGCGUCUGCUGUGAAAAUCCGGGGCUCAACCCCGGACUUGCAGUGGGUACGGGCAGACUAGAGUGUGGUAGGGGAGACUGGAAUUCCUGGUGUAGCGGUGGAAUGCGCAGAUAUCAGGAGGAACACCGAUGGCGAAGGCAGGUCUCUGGGCCACUACUGACGCUGAGAAGCGAAAGCAUGGGGAGCGAACAGG
rnacentral:rRNA from 1 species